rnacentral:lncRNA from 1 species
AACUAUGGCCAUGAUGACGUCAUACACCCAUCGUUAACAUUGAAAGGCUCUGAGAUUUACACCUACGUCGACAUCGACGGACUGGGCCUCGAUGUAGUAGUCAGUUCCUGUUUCAGGCUGAAUAGGUGGACUGGGGUUGCUCAGGAACAGGGGGACUGGCCUCCAGCAGAGAACCAUUUACAUGGUCAUAAUCCACAAAUCCUCCCAUCAGGAGGAGGGUCUGGGUGUCAGGGCCCAGUAGGGAUGGGCGGGAGGGGGGGCAGGAGGUGGAGUGGAGGGUGGGCAGGAGGUGGAGUGGAGGAGUGUGGGUGGGAGCUGGAGGGAGGGAUGUGCAGAAGGUGGGAGUGGAGGGGUGGGUGAGAGGUGGGAGUGGAGGGUGUGCAGAAGGUGGAGUGGAAGGCGGGUGAGGUGGAGUGGAGGGAGUGCAGAAGGUGGAUUGGAGGGGCGGGUGGGAGGUAGAUUGGAGGAGUGGGGAGGGUGGAGUGGAGGGAUAUGCAGAAGGUGGAGUGGAGGAGUGGUGAAGGGAGGUAGAGUGGAGGAGUGGGUGGAGAGGGGAGUGGAGGGAUGUGCGAAAGAAGGUGGAAGUGGAAAGGCGGGGUGAGAGGUGGAGUGAGGAGGGAUGUGCAAGAAGGUGGAUUGGAGGGGCGGUGGGAGGUGGAGUGGAGGGUGUGCAGGGGGUGUGUGUGUCAGGUUCAGGUGCAAGUGUGGUCUCUGAUCUGUGGUAGGAGGCUGGUUGCCCUGUGGUGGGUUGGUGGGGAAUCUAGGGUGAGAGGGUUGUUUGGUUUGCUCUUUAGUGUGUGUGAGGUGAUCUCUAUCGUGCUGGGUGGUUUGUGUAGUGGGGUAUCUGGUCUGAUCCUUAGUGUGUGUGGAGAGAUCUUUAUUCCUGUGUGGUAGGCUGGAGGGGGUAGUCUGUGUGCUGUGUAGAAGAGUCUAUGUGAUUGCAGUGCGGUCUCCUACAGUCUCUCCUGCUGGGCUGGUCUGGCUCCUGGUCUGGCUCCCGUUCGGGGUUGUAACAGUCACCUGUCCCUCCACCCCAGGCCCCACCAGGGAGCCUCAAUGGCUCCAGGGCUGCCAGGGCUGGUUGAAUCGGGGUCUUCAUGUGGGUACACCUCCUGGGCCCGAGCCUUCCUCUUCUGUCCGACGUACACCCCACAAAGUCUUCUACCUUCGGUCUGUGAGGAGGUUUGUGUGUCUUUGGUGUAAGUGUGGUGUGUUGUGAGAUGGAGUAGUGUGUGCGACGCUCUCCGCCCCUCCAAUCUCUGUCUCGUCCGUGACCACACCUGGUUGGCAUCUGAGGCUGGGUGGGCGGGUCCGGAUCAUCUGCUGAGCCCUCCUGGGUUAUGGCCGCUUGACCACUCCAUGUCCUCAUAGGGGAAGAUGCCAUCGGGAAGUAUCGGGGAACCCGGGUAUGAGGCUGGACUGGGGAAGAGACUGGAAGAGACUGAGAAAGAGACUGGGAAAGACUGGGAAGGAAGGCCUGGAGAAGGACUGGGAAAGAGACUGCGGAAGAGACUGGGGAAGGACUGGGGAAGAGACUGGGGAAGAGACUGGGUAGAGACUGGGGAAGAGCCUGAGGAAGAGACUGGGUAGAGACUGGGGUGGACUGGGGUAGAGACUGGGUUAGAGACUGGGGGAAGGAUGACGGGGAAGA